rnacentral:rRNA from 1 species
AAACGACUCUCGGCAACGGAUAUCUCGGCUCACGCAUCGAUGAAGAACGUAGCAAAAUGCGAUACUUGGUGUGAAUUGCAGAAUCCCGUGAACCAUCGAGUUUUUGAACGCCAGUUGCGCCCAAAGCCAUCCGGUUGAGGGCACGCCUGCCUGGGCGUCACGC